rnacentral:rRNA from 1 species
AUUGAACGCUGGCGGCAGGGCGAACAGAUGCAAGUCGAACGAGUGGCGGAUGGGUGUGUAAUGUCUGGGAAACUGCCUGGUGGUGGGGGAUAACUACUGGAAACGGUAGCUAAUACCGCAUACUAUCAGUUGUGCCCAGAUGUGAUUAGCUAGUUGGGGGGGUAACGGCUCACCAAGGCGACGAGCCCUGGCUGGUCUGCGAGGAUUACCAGACAGACUGGAACAGGGACACGGUCCAGACUCCUACGGGAGGCAGCAGUGGGGAAUAUUGCACAAUGGGCGCAAGCCUGAUGCAGCCAUGCCGCGUGUAUGAAGAAGUCCUUCGGGUUGUAAAGUACUUUCAGCGGGGAGGCGUUACACGCAGAAGAAGCACCGGCUAACUCCGUGCCCGCCGCCGCGGUAAUAC